rnacentral:lncRNA from 1 species
AGUCCAUCCUGGAGGAAAAGAGUGUGGCCCUUUGGUGAACUCGGGGCCAUGUGGUGCUGAGGCUGGAGAAAUGUCAGGGAAAGACAAAAGUACUUGACCAGACACAGCCACAUGCAGGCAUCUUUAGAAAGUGGGCAUGGCUACCUUGCCUAGAGAAGUGGAAGGAUCCAUCUAGUCAGCUCAGGGCCAACCACCCCUCAGUUUCAUGUCCCUGAGCAGCAUGUGAUCUGGAAGAUCUUGAGGGGAGUACCCUGCCUGUACCCCACCCUCAGGGCUCCUCUUCCUCUGUGGUAGGACCUAGACUUCCCUUGGGAGGCUUCUCUACCCUGGGGCUUGUUGUCUCAGCUCCACAAGUGGGAAUCAGACCCUGAAGAGUUUCUCUCUGAGUCCUCCAGAGGAAGCUGCUGAUCCCCUUGUUGGGUACGUGUCUAUACCCUGUGUGCAAUGAGGAGUGGGGGAACCUCACUGUGACGGGUGGCCUCGUCACUGACUUGCGUCUUUGGCCCCUUGUUUCCAAGGCCAGAAUCUCCAAAGGACUAAGGCCAGGUAGAGACCUGUGGCCUCC